AGCGAGCUCCCUCCCACGCCGCGGCUGCUACUCCGAGGGCGGCGCGGAGCCCGGCCUUGGCCUUGGCCUCCGGGCGCCGGGGCUGCUGCCGCCGCGGGGCUUGCUGCUGCGCCUGCCGCUGCCGGGCCCGAGGCUGCCGCCGCCGCCGCUCGGGGACGCCAGGCUCCGGUGCCUUCGGUGCCUUCGCUCCCGCUCCCACGUUCACAACCCCGAGGGCCGGGGAGAGGCGUCCGCGCGAGGUCGGAAUUGGGAUUAAUAACAAGCGGCCGGCGGAGCUGGGGGGACUGGCGGGGCGUCACACGUCCACGUCCACAGAGCCAUGCUGCGGAGGAGGCCGGCGAACCCUCCUCGCCCGGUGUUCCUGCCGGACGCGGCGCCGUUUGCCGCUCGCAGGCCUGAGGCGGCCUGAGCGGGAAGCGCUGCUCGGGAGCUAACGAGACGUCAGUCUUGAUACAUCAUCAAAAGCAUAGUCUUUCGAAGAAGGUUUAUCAGAUACCUCUUUAUCCUUGUUCUGUAUAUGUUCAGGUGUCCAGCAGACAUUUUGCUGCUGCUACAAAGUAAGUAACUUUUUUUUAUUAAUUUUGUUUGCUUUUAUUGAAAAUUU
rnacentral:lncRNA from 1 species